AAAGGUCUGAGUUUUCAAAGGAAUUCUAACCCAGAAAAGUAAAAAAUACAUGUAAUAUUUUCAUUAUGAGAGUGAUAUACAUAACCUUUUUCAGCCUCUUUGACUCUCUCUCUCUUUUUGGUUUUAUUUUGCUUUAUUUGAUUUUCUGUUUGUAGAUUAGGGAAGUUGGGACUGAUAUCAUGAAAUGCCCUCCAAUAUUUUAAUUCUUAAAAUGUAUUUCUACCUCUUCUAUUUCCUAUUUCUGUACUCUCAGUGCCAGGCUAACUAUGUGUGUAUGUGUGUGUAGAAUUGUAUCAUUUGACUCUUACAAAAAUCUUUGAACGUUGUUUGUGGGUGGUAAUGUUCUCAUUUUAUAAGGAGGAAAACAGAACCUCAGAAAGAGUUAAUGACUUGGCCAGGGUCACACAACUAAUAAGCAUUAACAUGAGACUCAACUCCAAAUUCUGAGACCCACCCCUAGUAUUCGCUUUCCUGAAUGCUAUGGGGUUAGGUGAAGAGGUGGAGAAGUUAGGGGGAAAAAAAGAGAUGAAAGAAAACAGUGUAGUACUUGGUGGUGUGCUGGAAAAUGUUUACAAGCUGGCUGAGGGUAAGGGAUAGCCUGAUUUGUAGUGUUCAUUAAUUUCCCUGGUGUAAUUAUGCCCAUAGUUUCAUCCUAUGGUGUGAUGUCACUGAAGGAGGAGUUGGGAAGUAACGAUCCAGUAUGAAUCUAGCAUACCACCGGUGUGUUUAACCACUGAAAAUAAUGAGAAAACCCCUACAAAGAAUGCUCCACUCCAUUCAACAUGGUGACAGCAUUAAUUUGCCCCAGACUACAUAAAUGAGAGAAGGUAAACCAUGGAUUCAGUGGACUGCCCUGAACAUUCCCUGAAACUUCAUCAAUUAUAAAAACUCUUCUUACCUGCUCUGGAUAUCCAUCCAUACUCCUUUGCCCUUUAGUUUGAAUUAAGCACCGUCCAGGCUGAGGUCCCCGGGUGGCCUGUGAAGAGGGGAUCUGAAUAGGCAAUGGUGACUGAAAUUGCUGGAUGGUCACUUUGUUUAUAUUUCCCUCAUAUGGCUGCUGCUCCCGGCUCCGAUGCUGAAGGCUUUGGGACCCCAUCAAAGUCUGGAUGUGGCUUCCUGCCUGUGGAGAAGAUAAUUUGUCAGACGAAGAUUCAUGGUGUUGAAAGGAUGUGAUUAAAGUAGAAAACACGUACAGAAUACCUCUCUGGUAAAGUGGCAUCAUUUGGGCUCUCAGCCACUGCUGGAAAGGAUAAUGAAAAAACAGUAAGGGUCUGCCUACUGUGGUUUGUGAAAAUGUUAAUGUUGGAGCAAGGUUGCAAUAAAUACAUUCAUAGUCAUUUGAUGUCUUGCCACAGAUUAUUUUGUCCCUGAUUUUAAGGGAGCAAAAUUCUCCCUGAAAAAUUUCAAGAAGAAAAAGAAGUCACAACUUAAAAAUAAAGUGGAGUUCUAUCUGGCAUUUUAUU